rnacentral:rRNA from 1 species
AUUGAACGCUGGCGGCAUGCCUUACACAUGCAAGUCGAACGGUAACAGGCCGCAAGGUGCUGACGAGUGGCGAACGGGUGAGUAAUGCAUCGGAACGUGCCCAGUCGUGGGGGAUAACUGCUCGAAAGAGCAGCUAAUACCGCAUACGACCUGAGGGUGAAAGCGGGGGACCGAAAGGCCUCACGCGAUUGGAGCGGCCGAUGUCAGAUUAGGUAGUUGGUGGGGUAAAGGCCUACCAAGCCGACGAACUGUAGUUGGUCUGAGAGGACGACCAGCCACACUGGGACUGAGACACGGCCCAGACUCCUACGGGAGGCAGCAGUGGGGAAUUUUGGACAAUGGGGGCAACCCUGAUCCAGCAAUGCCGCGUGCAGGAAGAAGGCCUUCGGGUUGUAAACUGCUUUUGUCAGGGAAGAAAUCCUGUGGGUUAAUACCUCGUGGGGAUGACGGUACCUGAAGAAUAAGCACCGGCUAACUACGUGCCAGCAGCCGCCGCAGUAA